CAGUCGCCGCGGGAAUACAGAGGGUGCGAGCGUUAAUCGGAAUUACUGGGCGUAAAGGGCGCGUAGGCGGUUAGGAAGGUGUGAUGUGAAAGCCCUGGGCUUAACCUAGGAAGUGCAUCGCAAACCAACUAGCUGGAGUAUAAGAGAGGGUGGCGGAAUUUCCGGUGUAGCGGUGAAAUGCGUAGAGAUCGGAAGGAACGUCAAUGGCGAAGGCAGCCACCUGGCUUAAUACUGACGCUGAGGCGCGAAAGCGUGGGGAGCGAACAGGAUUAGAGACCCCCGUAGUCCCUGUCUCUUAUAC
rnacentral:rRNA from 1 species